AACUCUGUGGGAGUUUAUUUUUGUGUAAAUACAUCAUCAAACAGCCCCUAAUUCAGUCCCAAGCUACAGUAUAUAAGAUGAGCCGCUGCCACACUUUGACAAGUUCAUCAGCUGGUAACAAACCUGCUCACAGCUCAGAUCUAGACUCAGAUUUGGUGCCUUUCAGCGUCUCAACAUGUGUUCGAGUCUCUCCACCAGCCGCCUGAUUCUUCUGAUCUCCCUGAGUGUGAUGAUGCUCAUCUUUGUAUCAGGAGCUGCCCAUGUGGAGAAAAACUGCUAUAAAACAUAUUCUAACCAAAAUGUAACAACCACAAAGGCUACACCUAAAUGGGCAAAAAACAUCAUCAGCUGCUUUGAACAAAACAGUCCAGACUGCCUUCAUGGCUAUGAGGUCAAAACAAGUGGAGGAAGAACAUUGUUCCUCAAACCAAACACCGAGUGGCUUAAAAAGAAAAUAAAUGAGAAAACUCUGCUGUGUCCUCCAGUGAUUUCUAAAUGAUGAUGAUGGAAAUGAUGAAGCAAAGUUGAAGUAAAGCAGCAACUGGAACCAUUUCUGCUGAUUUAUGAUUUCACACUUUUACAGAAACAUUUGUUAAGAAAUGUUGAUUAUUUUUUGUAAAUUAUAAAUAGAAUUUAAAAAACAGUUUUAUGGUCACAUUUAGUAAAAAUGUCAUUAAAAAUAAAUGAAUUUUUCUUAUUCUAUCUUCAAGCUGUGAACAAAGACAAAAUCAAUAAAAGCCUUUGAAACUGCAUUCUUUAAUGGUCUCUGUGUGAUCAUUUACACUGUAACAAAGUGUAACUAAUGAGAGUAUCACAGCUGUGAGGUGCUGCAUGUGAGAUGUGUGAAUAAAAUGUAGAUGCAUAUAAAAUUAAAAUGAUG
rnacentral:lncRNA from 1 species